CCUACGGGAGGCAGCAGUGGGGAAUAUUGCACAAUGGGCGAAAGCCUGAUGCAGCAACGCCGCGUGCGGGAUGACGGCCUUCGGGUUGUAAACCGCUUUCAGUAGGGACGAAGCUAACGUGACGGUACCUACAGAAGAAGGACCGGCUAACUACGUGCCAGCAGCCGCGGUGAUACGUAGGGUCCGAGCGUUGUCCGGAAUUAUUGGGCGUAAAGGGCUUGUAGGCGGUCCGUCGCGUCAGAAGUGAAAACUCAGGGCUUAACCCUGAGCCUGCUUUUGAUACGGGCGGACUAGAGGGAUGCAGGGGAGAACGGAAUUCCUGGUGGAGCGGUGGAAUGCGCAGAUAUCAGGAGGAACACCGGUGGCGAAGGCGGUUCUCUGGGCAUUACCUGACGCUGAGAAACGAAAGCGUGGGGAGCAAAUAGGCUUAGAUACCCUGGUAGUCCACGCCGUAAACGGUGGGCACUAGGUGUGGGGGACAUUCCACGUUCUCCGUGCCGAAGCUAACGCAUUAAGUGCCCCGCCUGGGGAGUACGGCCGCAAGGCUAAAACUCAAAGGAAUUGACGGA
rnacentral:rRNA from 1 species